rnacentral:snoRNA from 1 species
AUACUAUGAUGGUUGCAUAGUUCAACAGACUGAAUCAUGAAAGAGAUAGCAUUUGUCUGAUGUAUCU